GUACUUUUUGUUAUUUAUAUAGCGUCCUUGUUGAAUUAAUUGAGGUUAGCAAAUAUAAUAAUGUAUCGUUUAAAUUCCAAUAAAAGUCCAACCAGUUGCCCAUUUAUUUGGAAAUGGAAAUAGUGGCCGGCAAUCCACCGUCAUCAUCUUGAAUGACGGUGGGUGUUAGGCUAGCAUCACCCUUUGAUUUUUGUCACUUUCAGAUAAAUUGCAUCCUCCAAAUCCCACUUAUUUACAGAAAUUAGCAUUUUUAGUUCCAAACUACCUUCAAAAAAAAAAUUUGAAAAACAACCCACAAACCCUAAAUUUUUGUUUCGACCAAAAAUAAAAUAAAAUACCUAACAUUGGGUUCUCUCUCCUCCACCAUCUCUCCGCACCCUGUCGCCGGCCGGCCACCGCCGAGCCCCAUGCAGUCUCCAUCCGAGGCUGAUGAUGGUUGCCACCUCAAAUCUGGUCUAGAUCGAGGUGGGGCCACCUGAUCUGGACCAUAUUGGGGCUUGGUCUACCGUGGCAACCUCCGUAGGACACCUGCAAGCUUUGUGACAAAGCUUGCAUGGUCACAGAGCUUGUCGUGCACGAACUCUGCAAUCAAACCCAUCUUGUUUGAUGCCAAUCUCGCACGAGCUCCCCUGACCGCGAGCCACGAGCUCCGUGAGAGAGAGGAGAGAGGGAGGGUCUAUGGGUGAGAGCUCGGUGGUAAGAGACACUAGAGGCAGCUGCAGCCUCGACGAGGGGUGGAAAGAGAGAGACUCUACCGUGGGGUGAGCGUGAGGAAGAGGGUGGAGGAAGAGAAAAAGGGAGAGGAAAAGACAUAGGUGUAGG
rnacentral:lncRNA from 1 species